UACGGAGGGUGCGAGCGUUGUCCGGAAUCAUUGGGCGUAAAGGGCGCGUAGGUGGCCCAGCAAGCGUGCGGUGAAAGCUCGGGGCUCAACCCCGGGUCGGCCGUGCGAACUGCGGGGCUGGAGCACUGUAGAGGCAGGCGGAAUUCCGGGUGUAGCGGUGGAAUGCGUAGAGAUCCGGAAGAACACCGGUGGCGAAGGCGGUCUGCUGGGCAGUAGCUGACGCUGAGGCGCGACAGCGUGGGGAGCAAACAGG
rnacentral:rRNA from 1 species